rnacentral:rRNA from 1 species
AUGAAGAGCAGCACGCUGGUGGCGAUCCUGGUCCUCCAGACCGUCAUGGUCAUGGGGAUCCUCUCACAGGCCGCCGCCAAAGACAAUUUCCCCAAGUGCUGCGACAACUGCAACUCCUGGUCGGGGUACCAAUUCUGUGAGGACGUCGGCCCCAGGUGCCGCCGCGGCUGCGCCAACUGCCAGGUGGUGCAGAUGAGCCCCGUGAAGACGUUCCGGUGUGGAGAUGGACGCCCCGUCUAUGACGGGCACGACACGCCCACGCCCUGCCCGCCGCCGUGCAAAAAGCACUGA